rnacentral:rRNA from 1 species
CGCAUCUGUGCAUGCAGCAUAUCAAUAAGCGGAGGAAAAGAGGGCUAUUACCUACGCUUAGGAUGUUGACGAGACUGUCGAUCUCAUCUAUACAUGACUCUGUGCAUAUCAAUAAGCGGAGGAAAAGAAACUAACAAGGAUUCCCCUAGUAACGGCGAGUGAAGCGGGAAGAGCUCAAAUUUGAAAUCUUAAAGGGUUUCCCUUUACGAAUUGUAGUUUAAAGAAGUGUUUUCUGUUGGGGUUUUGGUAAAAGUUCUUUGGAAUAGGACAUCAUAGAGGGUGAGAAUCCCGUAUUUGACCUUUACUUUCAACUUUGUGAUACACUUUCAAAGAGUCAGAUUGUUUGGGAAUGCAGUCCAAAAUGGGUGGUAAAUUUCAUCUAAAGCUAAAUAUUGGCGAGAGACCGAUAGCGAACAAGUACCGUGAGGGAAAGAUGAAAAGAACUUUGAAAAGAGAGUUAAACAGUACGUGAAAUUGUCAAAAGGGAAGCGUUUGACACCAGUGUUGUUUUUCUGAAAAUCAAUUAAAGAACUGUUUAUGCUAAGCUGUUUAGACUUUAUCAGCUAUCUGUUUAGUUUUGAGCUUUUCUUUAAUGCACUUUUCAGUUAACAAGUCAACAUCAAUUUCUUUUGCUGUAAAAAAGCUUGAGGAAGGUGGCUUGAGAUUCGUCUUAAGUGUUUAUAGCCUCUUGCCUAUGCAGUCGGAGAGAUUGAGGUCUGCAGCGUAGAUCCUUCGGGGCUAAAUGCAUUUGUGCUAAGUUAUAGCAUUUUAUAGACAACUUGUUGACUAUGAUUUGUCUUGUAGCUUACUCGCUUAUGUUAUUUUACCUACGCUUAGGAUGUUGACGAGACUGUCGAUCUC